AGCUCCUGCCGCCGCCGCAGCCGCUGCCGCCGCAGCGAAGAGGCCAUGUUGUGUGGUGUGUGGGGCGGGGGGAGGAGGAGGAGGGAGUAAAGCCUAGAGAGGAGACGGGAGAGAGACACCACACACACGGCACAAGAUGGCCGGAGAGGCAGCAGCACCCCGAGCUGUCAGGCGUUCCGCCGCGGCCGCGAGGCCCGCCGGCCGGCGGGGAGCUACGCCCGGACGGCCAGCAGGCCCGCGGGAGUGGGGCUGCCGCGGCUGAGGCGAGGCGGGCCGCGCGCGUCGGCGUCACAGCCCGCGGCAGAGGCGCCCAGGGCGGCCGGGCCCACGACGCCGAAAGCGCCGCUGCGGUUGCCGCCUCGGAGGCUCCCCCGGGCCCCGGCGGCUGGACCCGGCGCGGGCGGGAGGCUCGGGCGGGCGGUCCGGCCCGGGACUCGGGUUUGGGCGACCAGGAGGUGCCGGUGGCCGCGCUCGGACCCGGUGACUUAAGAGAUUAAAAUUAAUUUGGUUGCUGUUGGUUCUGAACAAAUAAUGAGUUCUUUUAUUUGAGGUAUGCCAUUUUGAAGACUGAGACGUUGGAGUUUUAUCCUAGAGGAUAAAGGAAAUCUUUGGGAAAGUCAGUAUUUUAUAUAGCAAAAAUAUGAACCUCAAACUGAAUCCUCUAAAGGCCCCAUACAAUGAAGUAGACAUUGGUGGAAACAUUUACACCCAGUCAGCUUGAAGAGUUUCAAAUGGACCCUACCACUGAGAAAUCAAGAUGGCAGUCUACUAUGGGGAAUUGAGGAAAAAUGGAUUAAUACAAGAGUCCUGUGAUAAUAUACAACCAAGACAGGGUUCUUUUAACAUGGAUUCCAUGCAGUGAAUGAAGACAUAGGUUUCUUACCCAACACAAAUGGACAGUGGAUUUGACUUUCUAAAGACUUUUUUUGUGGACAUUUUGACAUUUGGAGAAGAAAGAUGGCACACUAACCCAGAUAAUAGUUUUUAUGCCUGGAAUUUUUUGCAGUUUGAUUUGUAUGCGUAUGACCUCUUGAAAUGUUAAUUUUUAAUAAAAUUUGUAACACUUAAAAAUUUCUCAGUUUGGGUUUUUUUUUUUAAGUGGAAGUUUAAUUAAAUGUUUAGUUUUAUUUUAGUAAUACUUUGGCCUUUGUAGUUGCCGAGUGGUAAAGUGUACUGAAUAUGAAUAAAGCUGGUAAAUUGGAAAUGGUGUAAUCGAAAACAUUUUACUUGGUUUAUGAAGAUUUACGUUUUUCACAAAGUUGUGCUCUUAGAUGGUCAUUUGGUUUAAAUACUGUUUUGUUUGUGCUUUCAUGAAACACCUUUCAAAACAACUCAAUGGGUAAUAAUAGAAUCUGAUUUUAAUCUGCCACAAGAUUUUAAUGAACUUGAAACAAACUGCUUGUUGCUCGAAAAUUCAGGAUGAGUGAUACACAUAUACUUCUGAAUUAUUUUGUGUUGAUUGAAAUGGUUUCUUAAGCUUUUUAAUACUAUAAAUACAUCUUGCUAUAGAAUAUUCAUCUGAAUAUUUAAAUUAAUGUCUCCUAUUGUCUUACUAUUAGAGGAAGAAGUGUUGGAUUUAUGGGUUAGGGUCCUUGGAGUAUUCACAAUUUUUUAAAUUUGAAAUUAUGUGUGUAAUCCAUUUUAUAUAACUUUGAAGUAGGAUUAAUAUCUUGUAUCGUCUUUAUUUUGUACAAUUGGGGAUUUAGAAUAAAUGAAUUGCACCCUGCCAUAGAUUACUUACGUUUGAUUUUUAAAUGCCAGGUUUUCAUUUAUUACUAAUCAACUGAUACCAGUUUUGGUAACUAUUACAAAGGUGGUAGGCAUUAUUUUGGUAGACAAAAUGAGUUCUUGAUUCUGUUUUCCCAUUUUACAUGAGAAGAAUAAAUAGUUCAGGUUAAAUUGUUUUGUGUUAAUCAUACUGUUUGUGAUUCAUGUCAAAUACUGCAGCAUACACAUCCAUGGUUAAUACACGAGCACCAUUUGUUAUUGACUGAUGUGAGGUGGUUGGUCUUUGUUAAAUUCAAAAAUGGAAUUUUGGAUAUUGUUCUUGCUACGAAAUUUAUCUUUGUGUGUAGAGUAUGGAAUUGAAACAGUUUGGAUUAUGGAUUUUACCUAGAUUGGACAUUGUUGAUUUUGUUUGGUGUAAAUCUAAAGUGGAUUUCUUCAGUGAGGGAGAGACAUGGUUCUGGCAGAUUAUGUUGAAUAAGGAAAGUUGAUUGGAUUUUUUUGGGUGUGUGAAUAUGCUUGUCUGAAUGGAGUGCUUGGUAGGAUAUUGUUUCUGGAAUUAGUAAUUUGUUUCUGUGGAUCUCAUGGUUUUGAUAUUUAGGAGAAUUUGCUUUGUGACAUUACUUUGAUAAUUUGCAAUCACGUAUGUCCUAUUGUUAAUAACAUUGUUGAAAUGGGUGUAUACUUACUUGAUUUGAAAUAUAAGGGAAGUGUUGGGAUAUGUGUUUUCUGUUGGAUUUGGACGUGGAGUUUCUUGGGUUACUGAUUUAAAGGUGAUCGUGUUUGGACCAUACUCUUGAAUUUUUGCCUGAAUCAGUAUGGGAAGUAAAUAUAUUGUGAUUAUGAGAAGUUUCUUUGGGGGGAGGAGUGUAAUAUUUUCAAGGUUAUAUAAUGGGUUAAAGAAUUUUGUGAAAGAACAAAGAAAAAUGGAUAUUCUUGAAUAAAAAUUGGUUGCAUU
rnacentral:lncRNA from 1 species